GUGAACGCUGGCGGUAGGCCUAACACAUGCCCGUCGAACGGCAGCACAGUAAGAGCUUGCUCUUACGGGUGGCGAGUGGCGGACGGGUGGGGAAUACAUCGGAAUCUACUUUUUCGUGGGGGAUAACGUAGGGAAACUUACGCUAAUACCGCAUACGACCUACGGGUGAAAGCAGGGGAUCUUCGGACCUUGCGCGAUUGAAUGAGCCGAUGUCGGAUUAGCUAGUUGGCGGGGUAAAGGCCCACCAAGGCGACGAUCCGUAGCUGGUCUGAGAGGAUGAUCAGCCACACUGGAACUGAGACACGGUCCAGACUCCUACGGGAGGCAGCAGUGGGGAAUAUUGGACAAUGGGCGCAAGCCUGAUCCAGCCAUACCGCGUGGGUGAAGAAGGCCUUCGGGUUGUAAAGCCCUUUUGUUGGGAAAGAAAAGCAGCAGGUUAAUACCCCGCUGUUCUGACGGUACCCAAAGAAUAAGCACCGGCUAACUUCGUG
rnacentral:rRNA from 1 species